GGUAGCAGUUUUGCAAAUAUCCUCAUCGGAGAACUGCAUUAAGCAGUGUUGAUCUAAAUGAACCAGUCUUCUUAUUCCUUAUAAGUCUCUUCUACCUUUGAAUCAUUAUUCAUCCCCUAAUAUUGAAAUUAAUAACUUCCAUUUAUUCAAAAAGCAAAAAAUUCUAAAGAUUUUUUUCUUUUAACAACUCUGUAAUCCCUUUUAUCGGCGGUUAGUCAGAGUGACUGAAUACAGCUCAAGUGUUUACUGGCCAGAUGCCCUUCCUGACACCUAUGUGGAGUUAGCAGGACAUUGUUAGAUGUAUUUGUGCUAUGGGGAAAGUCCACUGAAAGUACAUAAUAGAGAAAAAGAGUUUAAAACAGCCCUAAAAACUGUUGGUCAGAGUUGUUGAUCACCAUCUAAAGCACUGGAGUCUCCACAUGUGACCUUAUUUAGCCUUAAGUGCACAACCAGAAAUACAGGAAAGUUACUGCUUGAAUAUAGUCUUAUCAGCUUUAUUUAUGAUGACCUUUUCAGAAAAAAAGAAUAUGCAAUGACAAUUUCUCUCCUUUCUCUCUCUUUUCAUCUGAUUAACCAGGCAAUUACCUGUGCAUAGGAAGUGGUAGGUAAAUUCUACCACAUGAAAUGCUCUGCAGAAUAUUCACUAUCUUCUUUAAGCUAAUUUCAUUGGCUUAUUCUUACCUCAGAUCCAUCUCUUGUGACAAAAUUUGUUCAUAUCUAAGCCCACAUUUUAGAUUGAAUGUUGUGUUGAGUUUACCUUACCUACCGGUAGGUCUUAAUUCAUACAAUCUUAGAAACCUCCCCAGCAGGGGGAUUCAAUCUUGAGACUUGAUUAUGCAUCCUGGCUACAUUCCAGAGCUGUGGUAACUAGGAGAUGAAAAGAUGUUGGAAGUCUUUGAGGUCACAAUGGCCAGCAGCAUCAACAUGUAGUCACAGAAGACAUUUCACUGAGGGAGACAAAAGUUUCACUGAGGGAGACAUAGUUUCUGCUUCCCUUUUUGCUGAGGCAGAAGAAGCAAAAGCAUGUGGAUACUACUGUUCACUGAAGAAAUCAACAAUAGAGCUUUUUCAGACCUUGGUACUGCAGAGACAACCAGUUUUCUUGAAUUCACUUGAUAGUGAUGAUGAUGAUGAUGAUGAUGAUGAGAAGGAGGAAGAAGAAGACGAGGAGAAAGAGAUGCUGUUGCAUGAACUACUCAUAUGUAGACAACGGGGAAUUUAAUUAGCAGCCCAGCUGGCAUUUUGUAUGCAGAAACCACCAACUUAAAACAGACAUGUAAGAGUGUCCUUCCUUUUUGUGUGCAAGUUCACUUUGGCCUUAUGAAGAUUCAUGAAAGUCAAAAACUUUCAACAACAUUAACAAUGCUGGUUGUUAAAGAAAAGAUAUCAUCUCAUCAUUUCAUGUCUUGAUUUCAACAAGUUACAGAGAAUUUUUUUAAAAAAUGCCCCACCUAAAUGUAGUUUUAGAGAAAAAUUCCUCCCUUAGGAUGGUGUAUACAGUGUUUAUACAUUAUGUCAGCAAAAGAUGUGCAAGAUAUAAGGCUUUGCAGAUUAAUUACUUAAUGGCUAUGAUACACUUUGAAGUUUGAAAGUGCUAUGUAAAUGUUAAGUACGAUUACAGUGAUGAUAUAUUUGUGGUCCCUAACUUAUUUCUCCUAUUGCAGUAAUUACUGAUAAAUUCUUCAAAGCCUCAAUAGCUACUUCAUAAUUAGCCUCUCUGAACAAACAUCUACCACACAAUCAGGUGAUUUUUCUCAGCUAUAGUUUAUACAAGUAACUAAUCUUUGCCCUUUUAGGCAAUUGUUGCCACCCUAUUCAUGGGAGUGAAAUCAAGUAAGAUUUUACCUGAUUUAAGAAUUCAAAUCAUGUUAUUCCUGGAUUCACACAUCAAGGUAAAGCAGAAUGUAGUUUGUUUGGCUUUGGUUUAGCGUAUCAUAAGAAUUAGCCACUGUAGUUUUUAAGCCAUUGCUUAUGGUUUAAUGUAUUGUGGAAACCAAUAAUGUGCUUUAUAAAAUAUACUUUAUGGCUUUAUACGUAUGUGUUAUGAUUGAUUGCACAAGCUAUAUUUUAUAUGAUUGUGAACUGUGUCUAUGUGAGAUUGUGCUAUAUAAUGCAGCAGCAUAACUCAGCUUUAUAUGUCAAUGCAUCCGUUGUCGUCCUUAGGUGAAAAGCAAAGUAAGGAACGCCGGUACACACUGCACUCGUUGACUUCUUUAUUUCAAAUGUGAAGCAAAGUCAGCGCUGGGAGUGGCUUCCUCCCGGCGCAUUAUAAUUGUGCGCCCCACCCUAUAUCCCUGCCCCCGGUCCCAAACCAGCAUCCGGUCAAAUUGUAUAAGUGCCCCACCCUUUCCCUGUGCUCUCCCUUUCACCGACGGAAUCCUGCCCUCGUAACCCCCUUCCCGCGCGUCUGAUCCAUGCAGCAGCCUCCCGCCGCCAAGCUCUCCCUGUCUAGCGUCCCCCCAUAUGGGUAUGUCCCCCCCAUCCCAUGUCCAUUCUAGGUCCGUGUGCGAAGGCAUGAGGUUCUUUUCCGGCGGCGCCGCGCCGGCCACCACCCGGCUUGCCGGUCUCAGCUGAGGCUCGGGGACUUCCGUGCUUGCUAGCAACAUAUGGCUUUCGGGUGGUCCCGGGCUCGUUAACUCGGCGUUGCUCGUUGCCGCUGGUAUGUUGGACUGUGGAGGCGUGUCCGGGACGUGAUGCCAGGUUCGGCGAUGCGGUGGGGUGGUGGGCUGCUCUGUGGCUUCCGAGCUUGGUGGACUGCCAUCUGCUCCCCUGUCCCCUUGUGUAUGGCAAGCCUUCAGGGCUUGACA